rnacentral:rRNA from 1 species
AUUGAACGCUGGCGGCAGGCCUAACACAUGCAAGUCGAGCGGCAGCGGGAAAGUAGCUUGCUACUUUUGCCGGCGAGCGGCGGACGGGUGAGUAAUGCCUGGGAAAUUGCCCAGUCGAGGGGGAUAACAGUUGGAAACGACUGCUAAUACCGCAUACGCCCUACGGGGGAAAGCAGGGGACCUUCGGGCCUUGCGCGAUUGGAUAUGCCCAGGUGGGAUUAGCUAGUUGGUGAGGUAAUGGCUCACCAAGGCGACGAUCCCUAGCUGGUCUGGGAGGAUGAUCAGCCACACUGGAACUGAGACACGGUCCAGACUCGUACGGGAGGCAGCAGUGGGGAAUAUUGCACAAUGGGGGAAACCCUGAUGCAGCCAUGCCGCGUGUGUGAAGAAGGCCUUCGGGUUGUAAAGCACUUUCAGCGAGGAGGAAAGGUUGAUGCCUUGCAGCCUUGACGUUACCGACAGAAUAAGCACCGGCUAACUUCGUGCCAGCCGCCGCUGUAACAC